GAUGAACGCUGGCGGCGUGCCUAAUACAUGCAAGUCGAGCGAACAGAUGAGGAGCUUGCUCCUCUGACGUUAGCGGCGGACGGGUGAGUAACACGUGGAUAACCUACCUAUAAGACUGGGAUAACUUCGGGAAACCGGAGCUAAUACCGGAUAAUAUAUUGCACCGCAUGGUUCAAUAGUGAAAGACGGUUUUGCUGUCACUUAUAGAUGGAUCCGCGCCGCAUUAGCUAGUUGGUAAGGUAACGGCUUACCAAGGCGACGAUGCGUAGCCGACCUGAGAGGGUGAUCGGCCACACUGGAACUGAGACACGGUCCAGACUCCUGCGGGAGGCAGCAGUAGGGAAUCUUCCGCAAUGGGCGAAAGCCUGACGGAGCAACGCCGCGUGAGUGAUGAAGGUCUUCGGAUCGUAAAACUCUGUUAUUAGGGGAGAACAAAUGUGUAAGUAACUAUGCACGUCUUGACGGUACCUGAUCAGAAAGCCACGGCUAACUACGUG
rnacentral:rRNA from 1 species